CCUACGGGUGGCAGCAGUGAGGAAUAUUGGUCAAUGGCCGGGAGGCUGAACCAGCCAAGUCGCGUGAGGGAAGACGGCCCUACGGGUUGUAAACCUCUUUUGUCAGGGAGCAAGGUGCAGGUCGGGACCCGCUGCGAGAGUACUUGAAGAAAAAGCAUCGGCUAACUCCGUGCCAGCAGCCGCGGUAAUACGGAGGAUGCGAGCGUUAUCCGGAUUUAUUGGGUUUAAAGGGUGCGUAGGCGGAGGCACAAGUCAGCGGUAAAAUCGCGGGGCUCAACCCCGGUGCGCCGUUGAAACUGUGUGCCUUGAGUGCGCGAAGGGUAGGCGGAAUGCGUGGUGUAGCGGUGAAAUGCAUAGAUAUUGCGCAGAACUCCGAUCGCGAAGGCAGCAUACCGGCGGGGAACUGACGCUCAUGCACGAAAGCGUGGGUAUCGAACAGGAUUAGAUACCCGAGUAGUC
rnacentral:rRNA from 1 species